UCAACGGCAACGCCGACGUGCCGAUACACGAUGUUUUUUGGAGUGGCGAUAACAAAAUAUGUGGCGGCUACUAUGAGGCGGCAGUUAUAUAUAUUGCAGAUACAGAACGUGAAGCCAGAAAGGGCGGAGAGAAAAAGCGUGUGGGGAAAACUUACCGGCCACCUUCUGCUGAUCAUGAUCAAGAAACAAAGAAACAAAAGACUCAAAAGAUGAAAAAGGGAAAUAAAG